AGUCGAGCGGUAACAUUUCUAGCUUGCUAGAAGAUGACGAGCGGCGGACGGGUGAGUAACGCGUAGGAAUCUACCUAUUGGUGGGGGAUAGCCCAGGGAAACUUGGAUUAAUACCGCAUAAGCUCUUAGGAGGAAAGCGGGGGAUCUUCGGACCUCGUGCCAAUAGAUGAGCCUGCGUAAGAUUAGCUAGAUGGUGGGGUAAUGGCCUACCAUGGCGACGAUCUUUAGCUGGUCUGAGAGGAUGAUCAGCCACACUGGGACUGAGACACGGCCCAGACUCCUACGGGAGGCAGCAGUGGGGAAUAUUGCACAAUGGGCGCAAGCCUGAUGCAGCCAUGCCGCGUGUGUGAAGAAGGCCUUAGGGUUGUAAAGCACUUUCAGUGGGGAGGAAAGGUUAUAAGUUAAUACCUUAUAGCUGUGACGUUACCCACAGAAGAAGGACCGGCUAAUUCCGUGCCAGCAGCCGCGGUAAUACGGAAGGUCCGAGCGUUAAUCGGAAUUACUGGGCGUAAAGCGCACGUAGGCGGCUAGGUCAGUUGGGUGUGAAAGCCCCGGGCUCAACCUGGGAACUGCAUCCAAUACUGCCUGGCUAGAGUACGAGAGAGGGGGG
rnacentral:rRNA from 1 species